GCAUCUAGGGGUAUGAUUUUCGCUUCGCAUCAAUUGCAAUUGUGAAAGGUCGUGGGUUCAAUUCCCACAGCG